GAUGAACGCUGGCGGCGUGCCUAAUACAUGCAAGUCGAGCGAAGCGGGGACGGGUGAGUAACACGUGGAUAACCUCCUAUAAGACUGGGAUAACUUCGGGAAACCGGAGCUAAACCGGUUACUUAUAGAUGUAUCUGCGCUGCAUUAGCUAGUUGGUAAGGUAACGGCUUACCAAGGCAACGAUGCAUGGCCGACCUGAGAGGGUGAUCGGCCACACUGGAACUGAGACACGGUCCAGACUCCUACGGGAGGCAGCAGUAGGGAAUAUUGCGCAAUGGGCGAAAGCCUGACGGAGCAACGCCGCGUGUGUGAAGAAGGUCUUCGGAUCGUAAAGCUCUGUUAGUAGGGAAGCGGUACCUAAAGAGAAAGCAACGGCUAACUACGUGCCAGCAGCCGCGGUAAUAC
rnacentral:rRNA from 1 species